GACGAACGCUGGCGGCGUGCCUAAUACAUGCAAGUCGAACGCUUUGAUUUUCACCGGAGCUUGCUCCACCGAAAAUCAAAGAGUGGCGGACGGGUGAGUAACACGUGGGCAACCUGCCCAACAGAGGGGGAUAACACUUGGAAACAGGUGCUAAUACCGCAUAAUUUGUUUUUCCGCAUGGAAGAAUAAUAAAAGACGCUUCGGUGUCACUGUUGGAUGGGCUCGCGCUGCAUUAGUUAGUUGGUGGGGUAACGGCCUACCAAGACCAUGAUGCAUAGCCGACCUGAGAGGGUGAUCGGCCACACUGGGACUGAGACACGGCCCAGACUCCUACGGGAGGCAGCAGUAGGGAAUCUUCGGCAAUGGACGAAAGUCUGACCGAGCAACGCCGCGUGAGUGAAGAAGGUUUUCGGAUCGUAAAACUCUGUUGUUAGAGAAGAACAAGUGAGAGAGUUACCGUUCUCACCUUGACGGUAUCUAACCAGAAAGCCACGGCUAACUACGUGCCAGCAGCCGCGGUAAUACGUAGGUGGCAAGCGUUGUCCGGAUUUAUUGGGCGUAAAGCGAGCGCAGGCGGUUUCUUAAGUCUGAUGUGAAAGCCCUCGGCUCAACCGAGGAAGGUCAUUGGAAACUGGGGAACUUGAGUGCAGAAGAGGAGAGUGGAAUUCCAUGUGUAGCGGUGAAAUGCGUAGAUAUAUGGAGGAACACCAGUGGCGAAGGCGACUCUCUGGUCUGUAACUGACGCUGAGGCUCGAAAGCGUGGGGAGCAAACAGG
rnacentral:rRNA from 1 species